CCCCACUUAGCUCAGCCUGGUAGAGCUUCCGACUGUAGAUCGGGUUGUCGAAGGCUCAAAUCCUUCAGUGGGGA
rnacentral:tRNA from 1 species